CAGCAGUGGGGAAUUUUGGGCAAUGGGCGAAAGCCUGACCCAGCAACGCCGCGUGAAGGAUGAAAUCCCUCGGGAUGUAAACUUCGCAAGAACGGGAAGAAUAAGUAAGGGUUAAUAUCUCUUACGAUGACGGUACCGUUUGUAAGCUCCGGCUAACUCCGUGCCAGCAGCCGCGGUAAUACGGGGGGAGCAAGCGUUGUUCGGAUUUACUGGGCGUAAAGGGCGCGUAGGCGGCCACCGCAAGUCGACUGUGAAAUCUCCGGGCUUAACCCGGAAAGGUCAGUCGAUACUGCGGGGCUAGAGUGCAGAAGGGGCAACUGGAAUUCUCGGUGUAGCGGUGAAAUGCGUAGAUAUCGAGAGGAACACCUGCGGCGAAGGCGGGUUGCUGGGCUGACACUGACGCUGAGGCGCGAAAGCUAGGGGAGCGGACGGGAUUAGAUACCCCGGUAGUCCUAGCCUUAAACGAUGAAUGCUUGGUGUCUGGGGUUUUAUAGUCCCCGGGUGCCGUCGCUAACGCUUUAAGCAUUCCGCCUGGGGAGUACGGUCGCAAGACUGAAACUCAAAGGAAUUGACGGGGACCCGCACAAGCGGUGGAGCAUGUGGUUUAAUUCGACGCAACGCGAAGAACCUUACCUGGGCUAGAAUGCCUCUGACAACCCUAGAGAUAGGGCCUUCUGGGUAAAACCAGACAGAGUGCAAGGUGCUGCAUGGCUGUCGUCAGCUCGUGUCGUGAGAUGUUGGGUUAAGUCCCGCAACGAGCGCAACCCUUAUCAAUAGUUGCCAGCGGUUCGGCCGGGCACUCUAUUGAGACUGCCGUUGACAAAACGGAGGAAGGUGGGGAUGACGUCAAGUCCUCAUGGCCUUUAUGUCCAGGGCUACACACGUGCUACAAUGGCAAGUACAAACCGCUGCAAACCAGCAAUGGGGAGCCAAUCGGAAAAAGCUUGUCUCAGUUCGGAUUGGAGUCUGCAACUCGACUCCAUGAAGUUGGA
rnacentral:rRNA from 1 species